rnacentral:tRNA from 1 species
UGGGGUAUAUCUCAACGGCAGAGCACUUGCUUAGCAUGUAUGAGACUCUGGGUUCAAUCCCAGUACCACAG